CUUUUCAUUGGUUGUUCUAUUCCG
rnacentral:sRNA from 1 species